UACGGGGGGGGCAAGCGUUGUUCGGAAUUACUGGGCGUAAAGGGCUCGUAGGCGGCCAACUAAGUCAGACGUGAAAUCCCUCGGCUUAACCGGGGAACUGCGUCUGAUACUGGAUGGCUUGAAUCCGGGAGAGGGAUGCGGAAUUCCAGGUGUAGCGGUGAAAUGCGUAGAUAUCUGGAGGAACACCGGUGGCGAAGGCGGCAUCCUGGACCGGCAUUGACGCUGAGGAGCGAAAGCCAGGGGAGCAAACGGGAUUAGAUACCCCGGUAGUCCUGGCCCUAAACGAUGAAUGCUUGGUGUGGCGGGUAUCGAUCCCUGCCGUGCCGAAGCUAACGCAUUAAGCAUUCCGCCUGGGGAGUACGGUCGCAAGGCUG
rnacentral:rRNA from 1 species